rnacentral:tRNA from 1 species
GGGGGUGUAGUUUAGUGAUAGAGAACAUACUUUUCAUGUGCAAGGCCCUGGGUUCAAUCCCCAGCACACACA